GUCAAGCUUGGUAACACAAGUUUGUCAGCCAAGUGGGGGCAAUAUGGUGAUGGGACAGUGGCUCGACCCAUAGGGUCAGGUUUAAGUGGUUGAUCUCUGGCUUGCCCGUUCCAAGCUAGGAGUUGAGCUGAGGGACUCGAAGCGAACACUUCCCGUUCUUGGUAGUGGAAGGAUUGAGCUCAAACUGAACCAUCACUUUU
rnacentral:SRP_RNA from 1 species